GCAGUCGAACGGUAACGGGUUAAGCCGACGAGUGGCGAACGGGUGAGUAAUAUAUCGGAACGUGCCCAGUCGUGGGGGAUAACGUAGAGAAAUUUACGCUAAUACCGCAUACGAUCUAAGGAUGAAAGCGGGGGAUCGCAAGACCUCGCGCGAUUGGAGCGGCUGAUAUCAGAUUAGGUUGUUGGUGAGGUAAAAGCUCACCAAGCCGACGAUCUGUAGCUGGUUUGAGAGAACGACCAGCCACACUGGGACUGAGACACGGCCCAGACUCCUACGGGAGGCAGCAGUGGGGAAUUUUGGACAAUGGGCGAAAGCCUGAUCCAGCAAUGCCGCGUGCAGGAAGAAGGCCUUCGGGUUGUAAACUGCUUUUGUACGGAACGAAACGGUCUGCCCUAAUACGGUGGGCUAAUGACGGUACCGUAAGAAUAAGCACCGGCUAACUACGUGCCAGCAGCCGCGGUAAUACGUAGGGUGCGAGCGUUAAUCGGAAUUACUGGGCGUAAAGCGUGCGCAGGCGGUU
rnacentral:rRNA from 1 species